AUACUAACCCGGCAGGGGGUAAUCGGUGGUCAAGCUGGUCACUCUCCCAAGGCAAGGCUAUCCCAUUGCACUUCAGGUGUGCAAACACCUGUGAUUCCCACAUAUGCAGGGUACUCAACUGCAAAAUUUGUGGUAGUGGAGGACUGCGUUCAUGUAUAAUUUUU